rnacentral:rRNA from 1 species
CCUACGGGUGGCUGCAGUAGGGAAUCUUCCACAAUGGACGCAAGUCUGAUGGAGCAACGCCGCGUGAGUGAAGAAGGGUUUCGGCUCGUAAAGCUCUGUUGGUAGUGAAGAAAGAUAGAGGUUGUAACUUGCCUUUAUUUGACGUUAAUUACUUAGAAAGUCACGGCUAACUACGUGCCAGCAGCCGCGGUAAUACGUAGGUGGCAAGCGUUGUCCGGAUUUAUUGGGCGUAAAGCGCGUGCAGGCGGGUAAAUAAGUCUGAUGUGAAAGCCUUCGGCUCAACCGGGGAAUUGCAUCAGAAACUGUUGAACUUGAGUGCCGAAGAGGAGAGUGGAACUCCAUGUGUAGCGGUGGAAUGCGUAGAUAUAUGGAAGAACACCAGUGGCGAAGGCGGAUGUCUGGUCGGCAACUGACGAUGAGGCUCGAAAGCAUGGGGAGCGAACAGGAUUAGAUACCCCAGUAGUC